rnacentral:lncRNA from 1 species
CCUAAACCUCUUGGGGACGUGGCAGAACUUGUGCUUAAAGGACUACAUGCUAUUAUUCAGAAGCAUGAACACAUGAUAUUGCAAACUAUUCUAGUGCACACAUACGCACACACACACCCCUACACAGGAGUCAACACCUCACCCUGAACAUUUUUACAUUAUUGGCAUGUUGCAGAGCACGUUCUGCUUCUCCACAUUUUAAUUCUGAGCUACAGCUAAUCAAAGCACAGGCUCCAUCCUUGGCAGCAGCAGAGCCCAGAUGUGCAGUUCCUGGAAGGAAUCGCUCCCACAGUGUCAUCUGGCUAUCACCUCCCCUCGCCUGGUUUCUCCAGCGGAUUCCAAAGUGGCGAUGCUGUGUAUCAUGCCAGUUUCACCUACGUUCACACCAUUCUUUUGUAAACGGGAGUACCUGGUUCACUUUACACGUUUCUAAACUGAGAAGGAAGAAAUCACAGCAUCCAGACUUCCAUUAGAGGGUCACUUCUCCCCUGCUGUGUGCGGUCUUGGUGACCCUAUAAAUCAAGGUGCCCAACCCUCUUCUUCUAAGGGCUGGGCACACGACUAAAUUCCAGCUGCUUUAGCUCCAUUCUCUCUCCCUCUCCUUCCCUCCUUCUCCUUCUUUUUCUCUCUCUUUCCUUCUUCUAAGACUUUGAGUCUUGAGAAAACGACGAAAGAACAAGGAAAACAGUUGGAAUGCAUGUUCACUGGCUGUGCCCUCCAAGACUGGGGAGAAGUUCCUGGUGCUUAAACCCUCAGCUAUUAAAGGAUGCUGCCAGAAGCAGAACCGAAGUUUCCAGACUCUGAUUUUACCACUGCAUCCCCUGCAGCCACUCUGAUUGUUAGUGAGUCCUUGUCUUGAGAGGUCUUCGAGGAAUCCUGGCUCAGCAAAGGGUAUGAGGGAGGUUUGCUACUGAUGGCUUCAGGGGUUUGAGAGGGGCAAGGAUGGCCUGAUGUUCUGCUAUUUGACCUUUUGGCUUACUCUUCACUGCCUUCUAUGAGACUAUAUAUAUUUAAUUGCCCCUGAAUGACAUAAGCAAUAAGUCUCAACUGCACUGAAUAUAUUUGAUCUUGUCUAUAUUAAAUAGAAGGGAAAAAGUUUUUUCAGUUUUUACUUAUUUGUUUUUGACAAAUAAAAACUGUAUAUAUUUAAGAUACCCAAGGUGAUGUUUUGAUAUAUGUAUACAUUGUGAAAUGAUUACAACAAUUAGACUAAUCAACAUAUCCAUCACCUCUCAUAGUUACCAUUGUGUGUGUGUGUGUGUGUGGAGAGAACACUUGGCAGCUAUUCUCUUAGCAAACUUCAAGAAUACAACACAUUAUUAUUAACCUUGGCCACCAUGCUGUAUAUUAGGUCUCUGGAACUUAUUCACCUUAUAACUAAGAGUUUGUACACUUUGAUUGAUAUCUCCUCUUUCCGCUCCCCCACCUCUGGUAACCAGGAACCACCCUUCUACUAUCUGUUACUAUGAAUUCAACUUUUUGGAAAAACA